rnacentral:snoRNA from 1 species
AAGACUAUACUUUCAGGGAUCAUUUCUAUAGUUUGUUACUAGAAUAUUUUUCAAGCAUAAACAAACUUCUAGU